CCUCUAGGGUGGAGACUCCAGGUUGUAAGCUUGCUUGCCUGGGCCUUCAAAACAGCGAAAGCUGACUCUGAAGCAAGACUGACUUAGGUUCUAAGAAGAGCUGUCUAGUAACAAUACCAUACCUGAAAGAAUUCUUAUUUCCCAGAGAUAAAGGAACUGGCUGAAGAACUCUGCCCUGGUUAUUCUAAUCCCAAUUACAUGUACUUAGCAAAGUGUUAUACUGAUCUUGAGGAAAACCAGAAUGCUUUGAAGUUCUGUAAUUUGGCAUUAUUGCUUCCUACUGUUACCAAAGAGGAGCUGUAGUCUGGAAGAUAAAGAGCCUUUGGUACCGCAAGCCCUGUCAUCUGUGAGUGUGGCACAGUGAAGGCCUGGAGAGUCAUGACCUAGGCCCUGUGAAGUCAAGUCUUUUUACCAAGUAAAAAGAUUGGCAAUAAAAUAUUUCCACAUAGUACAUG
rnacentral:sRNA from 1 species